ACUUGGAUGACUUGAAGAGGGAAAAUCACCCCUCCUUUCCCAUCAUUUCAAAUGGUGCAAGUGCCCUUUCAGACAUCAGCAAAGCACCAAGCAAUGGCCAGGAGCUCCCUGGACCUCCAUGGCUGCUACCACAGGGACAAAAAUGACAAAGGUUCUUCACCUUGAACACCAGUAGGACAAAAUGGGUAUUUCCCUCUGAGCCCUGCCUGUUUGGCCAAACGGAGGAGAAGAACGCCGUCUGCCUUGCUGCCUGCCUCACCUUGCCCGCUGCUGCUCGUCUCUGCAGACCAAGCGGAAAGCAUCACAAGUUGAGUGGUAUCUUAUGUCCUGUCUUUAAACCUAUUUCUUUUCUGCAGACAG
rnacentral:lncRNA from 11 species